UUUUUCCUACGGGACGCAGCAGUGGGGAAUAUUGCACAAUGGGGGAAACCCUGAUGCAGCGACGCCGCGUGAGUGAAGAAGUAUCUCGGUAUGUAAAGCUCUAUCAGCAGGAAAGAUAAUGACGGUACCUGACUAAGAAGCCCCGGCUAACUACGUGCCAGCAGCCGCGGUAAUACGUAGGGGGCAAGCGUUAUCCGGAUUUACUGGGUGUAAAGGGAGCGUAGACGGCAGCGCAAGUCUGGAGUGAAAUGCCGGGGCCCAACCCCGGAACUGCUUUGGAAACUGGGCGGCUCGAGGGCGGGAGG
rnacentral:rRNA from 1 species